rnacentral:rRNA from 1 species
UACGUAGGGUGCGAGCGUUGUCCGGAAUUAUUGGGCGUAAAGAGCUCGUAGGCGGUCUGUCGCGUCGGCUGUGAAAACCCGGAGCUCAACUCCGGGCCUGCAGUCGAUACGGGCGGACUAGAGUGAUGUAGGGGAGACUGGAAUUCCUGGUGUAGCGGUGAAAUGCGCAGAUAUCAGGAGGAACACCGAUGGCGAAGGCAGGUCUCUGGGCAUUAACUGACGCUGGAGGAGCGAAAGCAUGGGGAGCGAACAGG